rnacentral:sRNA from 1 species
AGGUAAAAAAGGAGGAUUUGCCUAAGCGAUUCCAGGGAGCUGGCCCGACCGAGCCCUCCAGCCCAUGCCCGGCGGGGACCAGUCGCCAGGAGCGCAGAGCCGCGAUGUCCAUACUUGCCAAAAUGGGGGACUGGCAGGACCGUCACGACGGCACCAGCAACGGGACGGCACGGUUGCCCCAGCUGGGCACUGUAGGUCAAUCUCCCUACACGAGCGCCCCGCCGCUGUCCCACACCCCCAAUGCCGACUUCCAGCCCCCAUACUUCCCCCCACCCUACCAGCCUAUCUACCCCCAGUCGCAAGAUCCUUACUCCCACGUCAACGACCCCUACAGCCUGAACCCCCUGCACGCCCAGCCGCAGCCGCAGCACCCAGGCUGGCCCGGCCAGAGGCAGAGCCAGGAGUCUGGGCUCCUGCACACGCACCGGGGGCUGCCUCACCAGCUGUCGGGCCUGGAUCCUCGCAGGGACUACAGGCGGCACGAGGACCUCCUGCACGGCCCACACGCGCUCAGCUCAGGACUCGGAGACCUCUCGAUCCACUCCUUACCUCACGCCAUCGAGGAGGUCCCGGUAAGAGGCCGCGCAACCAGCGCGGGAGGGAACACAGCCCCCUACUUACCUACCCCAGAAAGGAUACCUGGAACAUACAGUCGGUGGGCCCGGGUUCUCCCUAGUAUUUCCUUAUAAAAACAUUUUAUUCGGGGGCGGGGAGUGAGGGACGUUUUGAGGAACCACACAAAGUAGUUGCGAGUUCUACCCCAGAACAAUGGUUUCUGGAGCUCCCUCAAACAAUGCCUGCAUUACCAUUACCACCAACACAGAUAAAUCAGACGAAUGUCACCAUUAACAAUACCUUCCUCUCGACGACAGUAAACUGUCUCAAUUGCUAAAAGAUCUACUUCCAUCGCAGAGUCUGGCGUGGAGAUUUCUCCCUGUCCUGGGAAUGAUGUUAAAUGCAACCAAAAGAGCUCAUUAAAUGUCCUCAAAAUGUAAAAGGAAGUGUAAAAGACACACUAAGAUCAUUUUAACCGGAUUUUAUAAGCACAAGUGAAACCUAAAAGUUAUGUGUACACCCUAUCCUGAUUAAAGAAAAACUAAGUAGCAAAUCCAAGCAGAGGGACAUUAAAAUGCAGCCUUCUUCUUCCUAGGGGUGCUAAGUGGUGACCUCAUAAAUCAUUAGCUAGGUUCCCAACGCCUAUCAGAACCUGCUACACUCCAUAUUAAAUUAAAUGUUUCGAGACUAUUGGGUAAUACAUUAUUUGAGUUCUAAUUUAGUUAUCAAUAAAUGCAGUUUAAAAUGAUUUCUAAAUAAGCAUGGCAUUAGCACAUUUACUAUUUACAAUGCAAACCAGGCUAUUGAUAAUUUGAAAAUACUUUCUGGAAUU